GACGAACGCUGGCGGCGUGCUUAACACAUGCAAGUCGAACGGAAAGGCCCUGCUUUUGUGGGGUGCUCGAGUGGCGAACGGGUGAGUAACACGUGAGUAACCUGCCCUUGACUUUGGGAUAACUUCAGGAAACUGGGGCUAAUACCGGAUAGGAGCUCCUGCUGCAUGGUGGGGGUUGGAAAGUUUCGGCGGUUGGGGAUGGACUCGCGGCUUAUCAGCUUGUUGGUGGGGUAGUGGCUUACCAAGGCUUUGACGGGUAGCCGGCCUGAGAGGGUGACCGGCCACAUGGGGACGGAGAUACGGCCCAGACUCCUACGGGAGGCAGCAGUGGGGAAUAUUGCACAAUGGGCGGAAGCCGGAUGCAGCAACGCCGCGUGCGGGAUGACGGCCUUCGGGUUGUAAACCGCUUUCGCCUGUGACGAAGCGUGAGUGACGGUAAUGGGUAAAGAAGCACCGGCUAACUACGU
rnacentral:rRNA from 1 species